CCUACGGGAGGCAGCAGUGGGGAAUAUUGGACAAUGGGGGAAACCCUGAUGCAGCGACGCCGCGUGAGGGAAGAAGUAUUUCGGGAUGGAAAGCUCUAUCAGCAGGGAAGAAAAAAGACGGUACCGGACUAAGAAGCGCCGGCUCACUAAGUGCCAGCAGGCGAGGUAAUACGUAGGGGGCGAGCGUUAUCCGGAUUUACUGGGGGUAAAGGGAGCGUAGAGGGGGCGGCAAGUCUGAAGUGAAAGGCAGGGGCUUAACCCCUGAAGUGCCGUUGAAACUGCCAUGCUAGAGUGCUGGAGAGGUAAGUGGAAUUCCUAGUGUAGCGGUGAAAUGCGUAGAUAUUAGGCGGAACACCAGUGGCGAAGGCAGCUUACUGGACAGUAACUGACGUUGAGGCUCGAAAGCGUGGGGAGCAAACAGGAUUAGAUACCCCUGUAGUC
rnacentral:rRNA from 1 species